GGAGAGAUGGCUGAGUGGUUGAAAGCGCCCGCCUCGAAAGCGGGUGAACGGUUACCCGUUCCGUGAGUUCAAAUCUCACUCUCUCCGCCA
rnacentral:tRNA from 1 species